GAGAACUGCUCUCUUGUGCUUCCUUCUGUGAUCAUGAGAACUGUAUAACUGUGCUUUCUCUUUUGCCCUGGCUGCUAGGAAAUUCUGCAGGUGUCAUAUUUUCGGUCUUAAUGUCCUAAAUGGAUGUCGGUGUUUCUUCAUAUGUCCUUUAUGGCCACUGUCUGUGUCCUGUUGGGAGAAGGGCAGGAGGGGAGGGAUGCAGUGUGGAAGCUCAUGCCUGUCCAGGCCAAGCACAAAUCCAUUUGCUGACAGCCCUACGUGCCUCGGAUUCUGAACGGCUUGGCCUCGGAGAGGACAGCACUGUCUCCGCAGCAGCAGCAGCAGCAGACCUAUGGUGCCAUCCACAACAUCAGCGGGACUAUCCCUGGACAGUGCUUGGCGCAGAGCGCCACGGGCAGUGUGGCUGCUGCCCCCCAGGAGGCCUGAGGCUGGGUCUCACUGCUCUGAAAAGACACAACCAGAAUGGCCUGGGGCUCAGGCCCUUGGCUGAGUGGGAAUGCGUUGGGACUGCCCAGCUGAGCUAUCAGGUGCCCAUCUUUUCUGGUCCCAGCAGUGGUGAGGAGAGCACAGGCAGGCCUCGCCCCUCCCUUGCUCACCCAGUUUCCCCUCCGGCACAAGCUUCCAGCUCUGCAGCUGGGGUGACAUCCCCAGUGGUUUGUCGCCAAGACCAUGUGGUGGACUUUUCGCCCCCCAAACUGAUGAGUCCGGGAGAAUAUAUGGAGAGAGAGAUGUAACAAGGGGAAGGCCUCCUCCCUUCUGAGCACACACACAACCGAUAACCAAAGAGAU
rnacentral:lncRNA from 1 species